UAUCAAUAAGCGGAGGAAAAGAAACCAACAGGGAUUGCCCUAGUAACGGCGAGUGAAGCGGCAACAGCUCAAAUUUGAAAUCUGGCCUCCGGGUCCGAGUUGUAAUUUGUAGAGGAUGCUUUUGGUGCGGUACCUUCCGAGUUCCCUGGAACGGGACGCCAUAGAGGGUGAGAGCCCCGUCUGGUUGGACGCCAAUCCUUUGUAAAGCUCCUUCAACGAGUCGAGUAGUUUGGGAAUGCUGCUCUAAAUGGGAGGUAUAUGUCUUCUAAAGCUAAAUAUUGGCCAGAGACCGAUAGCGCACAAGUAGAGUGAUCGAAAGAUGAAAAGCACUUUGAAAAGAGAGUUAAAAAGUACGUGAAAUUGUUGAAAGGGAAGCGCUCAUGACCAGACUUGGGCUUGGUUGAUCAUCCAGGGUUCUCCCUGGUGCACUCUUCCAGCCCAGGCCAGCAUCAGUUCGCUGUGGGGGAUAAAGGCUUCGGGAAUGUGGCUCCUUCGGGAGUGUUAUAGCCCGUUGUGUAAUACCCUGUGGUGGACUGAGGUUCGCGCAUUCGCAAGGAUGCUGGCGUAAUGGUCAUCAGCGACCCGUCUUGAAACACGGACCAAGGAGUCGUCUUCGUAUGCGAGUGUUCGGGUGUCAAACCCCUACGCGUAAUGAAAGUGAACGCAGGUGAGAGCUUCGGCGCAUCAUCGACCGAUCCUGAUGUUCUCGGAUGGAUUUGAGUAAGAGCAUACGGGGCCGGACCCGAAAGAAGGUGAACUAUGCCUGUAUAGGGUGAAGCCAGAGGAAACUCUGGUGGAGGCUCGCAGCGGUUCUGACGUGCAAAUCGAUCGUCAAAUAUGGGCAUGGGGGCGAAAGACUAAUCGAACCUUCUAGUAGCUGGUUUC
rnacentral:rRNA from 1 species